GUGGAGUAGACCCUAGUGGGAGGGGGAAUAGGUUACAGUGGAGUAGACCCUAGUGGGAGGGGGAAUAGGUUACAGUGGAGUAGACCCUAGUGGGAGGGGGAAUAGGUGAUAGUGGAGUAGACCCUAGUGGGAGGGGGAAUAGGUUAUAGUGGAGUAGACCCUAGUGGGAGGGGGAAUAGGUUACAGUGGAGUAGACCCUAGUGGGAGGGGGAAUAGGUUAUAGUGGAGUAGACCCUAGUGGGAGGGGGAAUAGGUUACAGUGGAGUAGACCCUAGUGGGAGGGGGAAUAGGUUACAGUGGAGUAGACCCUAGUGGGAGGGGGAAUAGGUUAUAGUGGAGUAGACCCUAGUGGGAGGGGGAAUAGGUUAUAGUGGAGUAGACCCUAGUGGGAGGGGGAAUAGGUUACAGUGGAGUAGACCCUAGUGGGAGGGGGAAUAGGUUACAGUGGAGUAGACCCUAGUGGGAGGGGGAAUAGGUGAUAGUGGAGUAGACCCUAGUGGGAGGGGGAAUAGGUUAUAGUGGAGUAGACCCUAGUGGGAGGGGGAAUAGCUGAUGUGAUAAAGAAGCAAUCAUAUGCAUGUGUAAAACCCUACCUAUGUGUGUAUGUUCAUAUUCUGCUUCUGUUGGUUUAUAUAGUAGGCUACUUGUCUUCACGGUUAUACGCCUAUAUAAUUAUUUUGUCAUUAAAAUGAAAAUCUCUAAU